CAAAUUAAAUCAGUCGAGUGUGUCUCCUCCACACGACAUCACCAGCAGUACUUCAGUUGGUCAUCCGCUGUAUCAUCUAGAUCAGAGUACUUCAGCUCGCUACUAUGGUCAUUUACAGCAGCCGCACGUUUGACAUGACAUCACAUCUUCUUCUUUCAGUUUGAGGAGGCCAGCUGGACGAGGUCGUUAACUCUGAUUGAUUUCGUGUGUGUCUAUGUGUGUGAGAUUGGUGGUGUGUAUGUGCAUGGGGCCGGUUUUAUCGGAAAAAUCGAAUCGGCCGAAAAUUCAAUGUGUUACCGUAGUGUGUGUGUGAUCGGUGGCGUGGUGGUGGUAGGAAAGAAACAGAAUCAAAUAUGGCUACCGGGUGGACAUCUUCGUCGUUGACGUCUGCCAAGAAGGAAAAAUUCCACCACACGAAACUGGACGAGAGCAAGGAAUUGCUCAGUUUGUUGUCAAUCCUCCGGGCGUUGGAUGUUCCGGUGACUGAAGAACAAGCCAGGGCCAUUCUCUACCAGUCGGCCAAGACGGGCCUCCAGUGUUCACCAGUGCCAAUCCUCGUGAAAUGCAGGUGAUGAAGUGCUUCGUCGUCAAAUAACCGUCUCACCUUUGGAUUCAUCGCGACGGUCACGUUCACCCGCACUCGUUCCAGGUGGCCGCCGAUUCCAUCGAAGCUGAAAGGCGGACGGUAGCCGAGUGUCAAUCACAGAUGGAUGAAAAGAGGCCUGUCUUGGCCGACUGGUACCGUCGCGAUGAAUCCAAAGGUGAGACGGUAAUUUGACGACGUAGCACUUCAUCACCUGCAUUUCACGAGGAUUGGCACUCGUGAAACACUCGAGGCCCGUCUUGGCCGACUGGUACAGAAUGGCCCAGGCUUGAUCUUCAGUCAUCGGAUCAUCCAACGCCUGGAGGAUUGACAACAAACUGAGCGAUUCCUUGCUCUCGUCCAGUUUCGUGUGGUGGAAUUUUUCCUUCUUGGCAGACGUCAACGACGAAGAUGUCCCCCCGGUGGCCAUCUUUGAUUCUGUUUCUUUCCUACUUCCACCACCGCCACCGAUCACACACACACUACACACUAAGAACGUCGAAGAUUUCCGGAUUUUGAUGAUAGGAUUCCUCCCGUCAAUCGUUAUUACUGCGCUGAAUUUCCCGGUGCCGAUGCUUUUCAGAGCUUUUCUACGAUUCGAACGAUUGCCACUUUAGAAAUUAAGAUUACCCUAGCUCGGACCGUACUGCUACGACUGGCCUCUCUUUUGGUACUUGUUCUGACCUUGUACAGCAGUUUACAAAAAUCUGGCUUGAAUUCUUCUUGCGACUCCGAUGGACUAAAACACGCACCGUGCUGGGAGACGUAUGUCGGCCAACAACUUUACAGGCUUUGCAUCUUCGAUGUUUUCGUCACUCUUCAUAACGCUGUUGAUUGAGCUUCCCUUGUCGUUGAUAUUUCGGCAUUCGGUGCUACCCACUAGUCGCUUGACUUGUGUAGCUAACCCUGAGUUUAAUCUAGUCGGAAGCACCCUUGAUAUGGUUUACAGUCAGUCAAUCUGCUGGCUGGGGAUGUUUUACUGCCCCGUCUUGCCAAUAAUUACCACUGUUAAGUGUGUCAUUGUUUUCUACGUCAAAUAUUUCAGUCUACUUGUUUAUUCAUGUCCACCUUCCCACGUUUAUGGUGCAUCGAGCUCCACUUCUCUUUUUAUGAAUGUACUGUUGGUAUCUUUCAUUUCGUGCGUUUCAUCACGUCACUUCAUUGCGACCUUCAGUCUCUUAUUGUGGACCAUUUCGAGGUUUUGAUACAGUUUGGUCGGCCAUAUCCAGUGAGGUGGAAACGUUGUCAGACACGUUGAAAAAUUUUCUUUUCUUUUUUGGAUCCGCUGGAUUCUUCGUACCCGCUAUUUUGAUUUUACUGGUCGCUCUCUAUUAUUAUCGCUCUAAAGCUGUGGCGAAUCGUGCUGUGGUAGAAUCACUCACGUCACAACUGAUCCUCGAAGCGGAAGAUAAACAAUUUUUUAUUACUAGGUUAACCGCUGUUGGUAAACAGCAAUUGCACGUUUGAAUACUUUAUUGUACACCCCUCAAAUUAUUAUACCCAGAUAUGCUUGAUCGUUAACGUUUUUUCCCUCGUACUCAAUAAUUUACAGAACGCUAAAGCCAAAGUUUUAAUGUACCUACUCCAGCUCAAAUUUAGUUAAAUGUAUUUUAUCGGCGUCGAAAGAAUCAAAAUAAUAAAAUAAAAAACGGAAACCCUGAAAA